UCCCUAAUCAAGAAUCAAGAGAAAAUGGUGUCUGCAAAAGAUCAUAAGGUGCCCAAAGAGCAUCCAAAGGACAAGGUCUAUUAGCAUCCAAUCUCACCCAUGGUUUACCUUUUCCACUCCAAUGCAAUAAACUCACUGGACCAGGAUGAAGAUCUCUACAAAGACCUCGAAAAUUAUCACCACCAAGACCAUGUUGAUUCCAUCUAUGAUCCACUGGAACAAUUUCCCCUGCAAAAACAAGCAAAAAAGGUGGCAAUGAACCAAGUUCAUAGAUUCUCAUCCUCUUUUGUAAUUCCAUCCAUUCCUCAAUCUUUGUUGUGUAAUCUCCGUCGCGCCAUUUUUCUAGAUCAAUUACCAUAACCCCGGUAUUAAAGUAACAAGCUUUUCGAUUCGCGAAUGUUAAAGACAAAGAUGGGUUGGACCAAAAUGUUGGUGUGAAGUAAAAUGUGAAAUUUGCAUUGCAAUACUCUGGUGCUGCCAAAACUGCAUUUUUUUCGGCUAAUGGUGUUGAUGCAAGUUUUGUGAUAUCAUCCACUAAGAUAAGGUCUGAAUCCAAGUACACAACUUUUCUUACACAUAAUGGAAUUAGAUUUGCCAAAUAGCUUCUUGCAUAAUUGAGAGGACAAUCAAGUGCUGAUCGAAUCGAGGUUGAGAUUAAACCCGAAACGAUUGAAUCAUCAAAAUUGUAGACUUGGAAUUUGAGGUAUGGGAAUGAUUUUGAGAUUAUGGAGUGGAGAAGUGAAGUGUUUGAGGAACAAACAAAGUGAAAGAUGAUGUUUUGUGGACAUGAUGAGUGUUGGAGGACAGAGAGGAUUGCAGCCAUGGAUCCUCGGAUAUAUGUUGUGUCUAAUGUCAUUGCCACAUGGACUGCUUCCUCGGAGCAGAUAUAUGUGCCAGUGUCAUGUUCGGUGUCUUCUUCUGGCUCAGUGAUGGAGGCACAAUUUGGUGAGUUGUAGAAUUGAGGGGCUUCUUUGAAUUGAUCAUUGAUGAUUGUUUUUCUUGUUUUUGAGGCAUGUUUUUUGAUGGUGGAGGAGGAUAGAGAUUGAAGACACAAGAGGGAGAGAAUGAGAAAGAAAAAUAAGAGUUUUGGUUUAGGAAAAUUGAACUUCAUUUUUUAUUUUUAUUUUUGAUUGAAAAGAGUGAGAUCUUGGAGGUGGCUUAUAGUUGGAGUUUGAGGGUUCAAACACACUUUUGAGUUAGUGAAAGUUUUUUAACUUAUAGAAAAAGAUGAAGAAAAAAAGGGAGAGACAAAGGGGGAGAGAGAGAGAGAAGUGGCUUGCUAGCUGGAUGGGUUAGCAUAAUGAGAGAGAGAGAGAGAGAGAGAGAGAGAGAGGGCAAAGUCAAGAAUAUAUAUGAAAACCAUGUAAGAGGAUGGAAGUUGGUGGAGUUCACAUAUAUAGUUUUGGAUUUAUAUGGUUUAGUAUUUUGAACCAUUUUUCAGGUAUGGGAUGGGGACCCUUACCAUCCUCUUAAUAAGGAUAUGAAUUUCUUCAUGUCUCAUUAACUUAUGAUUUUUAUUUUGUAUAUAAUGUAUGGUUUUUGUACUCAAUUAAUUAUGGAUUAAGCCAUGGGAUGGGGAUAUAAAAGAGCAUUUAUCCAUUUACAAAUACACAAGGUAGACAUACCAGUGCAUUUAUGUAUCAUAAAAGAGGAAAUGUAUCUGAAUAUGUCAGAAUCAUAUUGCUCCCAUGUUUAGCUUACUUACA
rnacentral:lncRNA from 1 species